rnacentral:tRNA from 1 species
UCCGAUAUGGUCUAGUGGCUAGGAUUUCUCGCUCUCAAACAGUUGUACCAACAACGAUCAGGUCCGAGGAGGCCGGGGUUCAAUUCCCCGUGUCGGAA